UAUUCUGCCCCACGGGGAAGGAUGAGAAGCUUCGACCAAGGUUCGACUCGAGCGAAGCGAGAGAAACGUUACCGCAGGCAAUGGCCCGAAGGCGAGGCGCUUUAGCGCCGAGUAAUCCUACCCCACCACUG
rnacentral:sRNA from 1 species